rnacentral:SRP_RNA from 2 species
GCUGGGCAUGGUGGCGGGUGCCUGUAAUCCCAGGUACUUGGGAGGCUGAGACAGGAGAAUCGCUUGAACCCAGGAGGCAGAGGUUGCAGUAAACUGAGAUCGUGCCACUGCACUCCAGCCUGGGUGACAAAGCUAGACUCUGUCUCAA